ensembl:lncRNA
UGUUGAGGUUGUGUCAGACACUUCACAGAAAUCAAAAGCUUCUGUUUGGCAGCAGAGGUCCAGAAGGAUAAAGCCACACCAUGACAAAGGAGCAUCAAAAACUUCACAGGCAUCAAAAGCACAGCCCAAAACCAAAAUCAAAGGAACAGACAGUGUUGAAGUUGUGUCAGACACUUCAGUAUAUUAUAUUACUACUACACAGGUACUGCAAGGUGAAAGUAGAAAUGCACAGUCUCCUGUGAGGGGUAGGUGUUAGGUGUAGGGUAGGUGUAGGGCAAUAGCACAUACAGUUUGUACAGUAUAAAAACCAUUACGC